UAAGCAAUGAAACACGCAAAAACUAUGGUGUUCGAUGGGUCGCUCAAAGAUCACGAAAUUGGGUCGCUCGAAUCUCGAUUUGUGCCGAUAAUCUCUUCUGUUUGCUACGGUAACAUUCAAUCUUCUGCUUCAUAUAAUCAAAUCCUUUUUUGAUGAAAAUGAGGGUAUAAACCCUAAAUCAAGAACAUUCAAUCUUCUGCAAUUGAUAAAAGGUAUAACUUUAUCCAUUUUUCUCAUUCUUGAUCAUUCAAGAACAUUCAAUCUUCUGCUUGAGAAAAAACGUUAAUAGUGCAAAAAUGUGUUCUGUGCCAAGAUCAUGUUUACAAUUGAUGUCGGUUCUGAUACUGAUUUUUUAAUUCUUGAUAUUUCAAGAACAUUCAAUUUCUGCUUGAAAACACGAAACUUUAACUGAGGAAACGUGUUUUGUCGCAAUAACUUUCAAUCUUCUGCUUAUUGGUUUAUAAUCAAUGCCUAUUGGGAAGGAUGAUGGGUUUUCGAUUUUUUCAUUCUUGAUUAUUCGAAUACCUUCAAUCUUCUGCUUCAAUAAAAUGUGAAAUUUCAAAUUUUGUAAGGGGUUGAAUGUCUUGAUGCCCAAAAAAUGCUGGAUAAAUUACUUUAUGAAUGUGAAAUCUUGAUUGCUACUCAAGCAAUUGUCCCUUUCGGUGUCCGCUUUACUAUUUAAAAAAUUUAUGAAUUUUUAUUCAUAGUAAUGCAUGAAUAGAUAUAUAUUAUGCUUUGAUGACCCUUAGUCCCUAAAUUCAAGUAAUUGCUACUCAAGUCCCUGAAUGUGAAAUCUUAUAGUAAUUCAAAUUGGUUGUUAAGUCCCUGAAUGUGAAAUCUUGUUGUUGCCUUAAUUGUUACUCAAACAAUUGUCCCUAUCGGUGUCCGCUUUACUAUUUAAAAAAAUUAUGAAUUUUUAUUCAUAGUAAUGCAUGAAUGGAUAUAUAUUCUGCUUUGAUGACCCUUAGUCCCUAAAUUCAAUUUUGCAACUGCAAUUAGAAGUGAUAUUGCAUUAUGAACUUAAUGACCCUUCUCCCUAAUGUUACAUAAAGGAUGGAUGCCUUAAUGACCCUUGAGGAAUAUGCAUUAUGAAUUCUUUAUUCAUAAUGGAAAAGUUGGAUGGUGGCUUUAGAAGUGAUUUUACAUGAUGAACUUAAUGACCCUUAUACCUAAUGUUACAUAAGUUUUGUAAGGGAUGGAUGCCUCAAUGACCUUUGAGGAAAAUGAAUUAUGAAUUCUUUAUUCAUAAUGGAAAAGUUGGAUGGUGGCUUUAGAAGUGAUUUUGCAUUAUGAACUUAAUGACCCUUUUCCCUAAUGUUACAUAAGUUUUGUAAGGGAUGGAUGCCUCAAUGACCUUUGAGGAAAAUGCAUUAUGAAUUCUUUAUUCAUAAUGGAAAAGUUAGAUGGUGGCUUUCAAAGCAAAGUAAUUUUAAUAUGAAAUUUAUUCAAAAUGUGGAUGGAUAGACUUUGUUCCAUGGUUUUUGUAAGGGUGGCCAAAAAAUAUUGGAUGAUGCCUUAAUGUGAAAGCUAGUUGUUGACCCUAGUCCCUAAAUGCUAUGAUCUAUUGUGCUUUGGUAGACCCUUAGUCCCUAAAUGCAAUUUUGCAACUACAGUAUGAAGUGAUUUUGCAAAUGCAAAAGAAAGUGCUUCCUUGUGUUUGAUUGGCUCACUGAAUCAAAGUACAAAGAAACCAACUCUUUGGAGUCUAAACUAUUUCUUAUAAUAUGACAUUAUGAUUAAUGAAGGAAUCCACAAUGAGGUUGUAUAUCUGAUAAAAUUUGAUAAAAAAUGGUGGAUGCUAUGCCACUGCUAUAAGAUUUGUGUUGAUAAUUAUAAUCGUUAAGUCUUCGAUUUAAUAACUGAAAAAAGGUAGAAUUUUACCCAUUUUUAUUAUUCUUGAUCAUUUAAAAAGAUUCAAUCUUCUACUUGAUAAAUACAAAACAUUUUAUUGCUGAACAUAGCGGUGUUCAGGUUUAACGGUGAUUUGGAAACCGAAAUCUGUAAUAGCACCCUGUCAUCCUUUUAGAUUCAUUAUGAGACCAUUGUCCCAUAGAUGUGGAGAGAUUCUAGAGAGAUGAUUGAAGCUUUGGUUACAGGAUAAAAACUGGGAACAAUAACAGGUGUUGUGAACUUUCUAUUGAAUCCCAACUUUCAAGGUUGAUUUGUUAACCGGCAGGCAUUUUAUGUCGGAAGUAAAUGUGGGAACAAGUUUUCUUAAUAUGGUAAUUCUAUGAUUUGAGCUGCCUUCCCCCCUAUAUAUAUAUGGUGUAUAAUCAGAUAUAGCUGUAAGUGCGCUUUGGAAUGAAGGAAAAGCAAGUGAUUCAACCAUUUUAUAUGUUUCUCAUAUGGUAUAAUGACUAUGCUGAUGUGUUUUUCUUUAUGCAAUUAACACCUGUUGUCAAUUACCUACGCACCGUGCAAUUUACGAUGCUACUAUAUAACUACAACUCUAUAAUUAGCUUAACAAGAGGACCUUUUUUACUAUGUUAUGUAUUUGGGAGAUUGGUGUUUAAUGCAGUCUAAUUUCGUUUUUGAGAACUUAUUCAGCCUAUAAGAUUUAUUGCUUUUCCGCACUUUGUGUUGGAGUCUAGAUUUGUGCUGGGGAAAUCUUAUGUUGACCUUCUUCAGGAUUUGAUGAAAAAAACUAUUGUUCUUGCCUUGGCAACCGGGCAGAAGCGCUUUGGUGCCUCUCUGUGCAAGCUUGUUGAGAAAUAUGCUGAAAUUUUAGCAAGUCAAGGGUUGCUGACCACAACAACAGAGUAUUUAAAACUUUUGGGUUCUGAAGAACUUUCGAGAACUUGUGAUAUAUUGAAAGACCGAAUUUCGUUUUUGAGAACUUAUUCAGCCUAUAAGAUUUAUUGCUUUUCUGCACUUUAUGCUGGAGUCUAGAUUUGUGCUGGGGAAAUCUUAUGUUGACCUUCUUCAGGAUUUGAUGGAAAAAACUAUUGUUCCUGCCUUGGCAACUGGGCAGAAGCGCUUUGGUGCCUCUCUUUGCAAGCUUGUUGAGAAAUAUGCUAAAAUAAAUCUUAGCAAGUCAAAGGUUGCUGACCACAACAACGGAGUAUCUAAAACUUUUGGGUUAACUUUCGACAUAACUUGUGAUAUUGAAGGACCGAAUUGCACUGUCUACGUAACCUGGUAAACUUUUUCUGGAUUUCUAUAUGGCAUGGUUAAAAAAGUAGAGGAAAAUGAUACAAAGUGAAGGCUAUUUAUUAGCAUUUUUGUGUAUUUUAUUCUAAUGGGAUAGCAUUACGCCAUUAUAAUUGCAUAGUGAACAUCAGUGCGUAGUUAUAUUUUGGUGUUAAUAAACGUGUAACAUUAUACACCUAACCAUUUUUCAGGAAGAUAUUGCCGGUUUUAGAAAGACCUAACUACUCAAGUGAUUACUUAUUGACCACUCUUUUAACAUUGUUAAUAACUAGUAGAGUGGUUAAUGGUUAAUAAACCAAGUAAUUUUACUAAAUCCUUUUCGGAAAGAUUUUUAUUUUAUAAAAUAAUUUGGUGUAAGUCACAUCUGCCAUGUAGAACUGCAGUUAUUUUCAGAUAUUUUCAUUUGGCGGAGAAGUUUAUGUUCAUGGUUUUGUUAAUUAAUUAUUUUGACAUGAAGGGCUCUCAAUUGGAGAAGUCUAUGUUCAUGGUUUUGUUAAUUAAUUGUUAUUUUAUGACUUCAGCUGUCUAGUGUUUCCUUUAUUGUUCAGUAUAUGAAGCUUUCUGCACACCUACGUUUCUCUUCACUUUUUUUCUCCUUUCUAAUU